UCCCUCGGUUCUCUCAAUCUCAUUGAGGAUCGUGAGAUCCCGGAGAAGCUCCGGUAACUCGAAGUCCGAUCCAACCGAUCUAGCCAUACGGCAGCCAUAUUUCACCCUAGUUCGCCGAAGCGUACUUUCAUCUUCGCCGACCGAGCGCCGGCGGGGCACGGUGAAUGCGGCUCAAUCCAGCGAAUCUGGAGUGUAGGAGAGGUAGUUUGAUGCGGAUCGAAUGACGAGGGGGGGUUUGGAGUUGAAUUGCUUCAGCUCGGAGAUCCAAAAGAGAAAGGUCUCCAGUUCAUAGCUUCUUCCUCUCCUCCUCCUCAAAAAGUCUCGAGAGUGUUCCUGUUCAAGUUGGGCAGACACCUCAUUUACUUCAGUAUUUUGGGGCAUUGUUAACUAAGGGAAAACUCGAUGCAUUUGAGUCUCUAGAAUUAUCUCGCCUUGUGGUUAAUCAAAACAAGAAAAAAUCUUUUGGAGAAUUGGUUGGCAGAGGACAAGCUUGAGUGCAGUGAAGAACUUGGAGAUCUUGUGAAGGCUUGAUCUCAGUUUAUAAGAUUAGCUCAAUCAUUUUUAUCUUCUACACUAUCUUGUUGGAAAUAAUAUGGUUGAGGUUGGAGCUACUCUAGACAAUAUCUUGCAUUGAAGAUCUAUAUAAAAGCAAGGGCAACUCCAAAAAUUGUUGCUGCUUUUGCUGAGCGUGGAGAGUUUGACUAUAUUCUUAUGAAGCAGCUGCUGGUUGUGUGCUGAUAGUACUGAUCUCCGUGUUCAUUUGGUUUUGCUUGAGAAGAAAAUAUGCUGCAAAUAAUGCUCUUCUGUUCAAAUGGGAUGAUAACGGAAGUUGUUUUAUUUGGAUUUUCGAGAACAUGAUCAAUUGAUGAAGGUUUGCUGUUGUUUGUUAAGGAGAAUCAGAAGGUAUGUUUUUGGAUGAAUUAGUUGUUUGUAUAUACAGCAUUUGUAGUUCUUGUCACCCAGGUGGACUAUAUCUAAUGGUGUAUCAGAAUUAGAAUAAAGUUAUUUUUCUUCAGUUGCAUGUGCCCAUCCGUGAAAAAACAAUUUUUGGGCAUGCCCUUUGGAAAAAAACAAAAACAAACUUCAUAAGGAUAUUUUUUGCAUGUUUUAACAGAACAUUUGUGAUAAAUAAGGUAAGCAGUAUUAGCUCAAGUUCUUUAGUUCUAUAGUAUGUAUUAUUUACUCUAUAUUAUCAAGCAAAGAUGUUGCAAAGAUAAUUAAUAUAUUCAUCAUUUACAGUGAUAAAUAUAUUAAUUAAUAUUCCAUGUAGAUGAUGUUCAUAUCAUUUAAAGAUGAGAGGAAGAAAGUUUGAAGAGUGUCAUCUCAGUUAAUGAAAUGCUCUUAUUCAUAAUCAUCUGAUGAGAGUUUCAAAUAUCUUUUGUGUUCAUAUGAUAUAUACUCAGUACUCUGAUUUGGCUGAGAGACACUGGGCUUGACAUGAAUUGCUUAAAGAUGAGAUGAAGCCAUUUUGUAGUUGGCAUGGAACAUUAUGCCUGAGUGAGACAUAUUUGACUUACCACUGCUAAUUGUUGUUCUGUGCAUCUAUUGUUUUUUUGGAUGAUAUGAUAAAGGCUAUGUGACAUUGAUAGUUGAUGGAUUAUGUGACUUGGCUUUAAUAGAUAAAGAUAUGCUUUUACUUAUGGCCUUUAAUUUUCAAAGCUUUUAUUGAUUUUCAUGUGGAAAUGUCUUAAGAGAUAACCAUUAUCAACUACUAUUAACAUAUCCUAAUAGAGCUAGGUAAACAUUACACAACUUGAGUUCAAAUAGAAGGAAGGAUUAUAUAAACCCAAAGUGUAGUUGGGGUACAAUUUUCAUUAUUCACUUGUUAAUUUCAGGAUAGGUUGAAUUUGAAUAGAAGUGGUUUUGAAGAUGUGAAUGAAAGCUGUGGUAGCCACAGGGGCGGACCCACAUGGGUGCCAGCUCGGGCUGGCCGGCCAGAAAACCUUAGAAAAACUAUGUCCAAUAAGAUUUUUUAUAUGAAUAUUAAUGUUUAAUAAUAUUUUGUUUGCAUUUAACUAACAUGUAAUUGGCAUGUGCUUGAGUGGUUUGUGGGAGUUGGAUGAUAGGAGCCCACCAUGGUUCAA